rnacentral:misc_RNA from 1 species
GAUGAAGAACGCAGCGAAAUGCGAUAAGUUAUGUGAAUUGCAGAAUUCAGUGAAUCAUCGAAUCUUUGAACGCACAUUGCGCCCGCCAGUAUUCUGGCGGGCAUGCCUGUUCGAGCGUCAUUUCAACCAUCAAGCCCCAGGCUUGUGUUGGGGACCUGCGGCUGCCGCAGGCCCUGAAAACCAGUGGCGGGCUCGCUAGUCACACCGAGCGUAGUAGCAUACACAUCGCUCAGGGCGUGCUGCGGGUUCCGGCCGUUAAACCCCUUUUUUACCCAAGGUUGACCUCGGAUCAGGUAGGAAGACCCGCUGAACUUAAGCAUAUCAAUAAGCGGAGGA